rnacentral:misc_RNA from 1 species
UCCCGGUUCACCCGGGCAGUCUCACUAGAGUUCCCACCUUUACGUGCUGGCAACUAGUGAUAAGGGUUGCGCUCGUUGCGGGACUUAACCCAACACCUCACGGCACGAGCUGACGACAGCCAUGCAGCACCUGUGCAGAGACCCUCGCGGGCUAUACUAUCUCUAGUAUAUUCCUCUACAUGUCAAACCUGGGUAAGGUUCUUCGCGUUGCAUCGAAUUAAACCACAUGCUCCACUGCUUGUGCGGGUCCCCGUCAAUUCUUUUGAGUUUCACCCUUGCGAGCGUACUCCCCAGGCGGUAUACUUAUCGCGUUAGCUACGGCACAACUGGGGUUGAGUCCAGCUACACCAAGUAUACAUAGUUUACGGCAAGGACUAC